AGUUUGCUUACAGGCAGAUAAAAAUCAUCUCAGCUCUAUUAUUGAGCUGUUUUAAAUUCAAAAUGAGUGAUGAGAAGAAAAUUGUGCAGUAUCAACCAAUGAUCAAUCUUCUCAUAAAAGGAGGCCUUCAAGUUUGUGCCAUUCCUAGACGUCCUAUGCCCUAACAUUGGUUCAAUUCACUACAAAAUUUGACGUGCAUCUG
rnacentral:misc_RNA from 1 species